rnacentral:tRNA from 1 species
GGCCGCUUGGUGUAGUCGUUGCAUACGCCGUUCGGGUCGGCGUGGUGGUGGGUUCAAAUCCCGCAGCGGCCC